AGCUUGCUCCCUGGUGGCGAGCGGCGGACGGGUGAGUAAUGCAUAGGAAUCUGCCCGGUAGUGGGGGAUAACCUGGGGAAACCCAGGCUAAUACCGCAUACGUCCUACGGGAGAAAGCAGGGGACCUUCGGGCCUUGCGCUAUCGGAUGAGCCUAUGUCGGAUUAGCUGGUUGGUGAGGUAAUGGCUCACCAAGGCGACGAUCCGUAGCUGGUCUGAGAGGAUGAUCAGCCACAUCGGGACUGAGACACGGCCCGAACUCCUACGGGAGGCAGCAGUGGGGAAUAUUGGACAAUGGGCGCAAGCCUGAUCCAGCCAUGCCGCGUGUGUGAAGAAGGCCCUCGGGUUGUAAAGCACUUUCAGUGGGGAAGAAAGCCUUCCGGUUAAUACCCGGGAGGAGGGACAUCACCCACAGAAGAAGCACCGGCUAACUCCGUGCCAGCAGCCGCGGUAAUACGGAGGGUGCGAGCGUUAAUCGGAAUUACUGGGCGUAAAGCGCGCGUAGGCGGCUUGAUAAGCCGGUUGUGAAAGCCCCGGGCUCAACCUGGGAACGGCAUCCGGAACUGUCAGGCUAGAGUGCAGGAGAGGAAGGUAGAAUUCCCGGUGUAGCGGUGAAAUGCGUAGAGAUCGGGAGGAAUACCAGUGGCGAAGGCGGCCUUCUGGACUGACACUGACGCUGAGGUGCGAAAGCGUGGGUAGCAAACAGGAUUAGAUACCCUGGUAGUCCACGCCGUAAACGAUGUCGACUAGCCGUUGGGUCCUUCGCGGACUUUGUGGCGCAGUUAACGCGAUAAGUCGACCGCCUGGGGAGUACGGCCGCAAGGUUAAAACUCAAAUGAAUUGACGGGGGCCCGCACAAGCGGUGGAGCAUGUGGUUUAAUUCGAUGCAACGCGAAGAACCUUACCUACCCUUGACAUCCUGCGAACCCUUCGGAGACGAAGGGGUGCCUUCGGGAACGCAGAGACAGGUGCUGCAUGGCUGUCGUCAGCUCGUGUUGUGAAAUGUUGGGUUAAGUCCCGUAACGAGCGCAACCCUUGUCCCUAUUUGCCAGCGAUUCGGUCGGGAACUCUAGGGAGACUGCCGGUGACAAACCGGAGGAAGGUGGGGACGACGUCAAGUCAUCAUGGCCCUUACGGGUAGGGCUACACACGUGCUACAAUGGUCAGUACAAAGGGUUGCGAACUUGCGAGAGUGAGCCAAUCCCAGAAAGCUGAUCUCAGUCCGGAUCGGAGUCUGCAACUCGACUCCGUGAAGUCGGAAUCGCUAGUAAUCGUGAAUCAGAAUGUCACGGUGAAUACGUUCCCGGGCCUUGUACACACCGCCCGUCACACCAUGGGAGUGGACUGCACCAGAAGUAGGUUAGCCUAAC
rnacentral:rRNA from 1 species